UUGUGUGACCGCGUACUUUUUGUAGAACGGGCCAACGAGUUACGUUAAGUAGCAAGGUUAAGCACUUAAGGUGUGGAGCCGUAGCGAAAGCGAGUUUUAACUGAGCGUUCAGUUACUUGACGUAGACACGAAACCGGGCGACCUACCCAUGAGCAGGAUGAAGCGAAAGUAAAAUUUCGUGGAGGUCCGAACCCACGAGCG
rnacentral:rRNA from 1 species